CCAUGAGUCAAACAUUCCAUGAGCUUCAAGACUGAAGGAAAAGGAAAAAGCCAGCUGGGGAGAGCUUGUUUCUUCCUACUUCUUAGCCUGACCAGAUGUGAGCAAACAGCUUCAUGUGACCACAGCUGGAAGCUUCCUUUCCAUGAUGGACACUGUUCCCUGAACCAGAGGCCAAAAUAAAACCUCCUUCCUUAACCUGCUUCCUGCCAGGAUGAUAUCUACAACUUUUCAUAAAGAUUCCAGCUGAGAUCACACCAGAGCUUUGUAAUCUAACUACGAUACAAGAUAAUCAAGUAAGAACAAAAAGAAAAAUCUAAGAGGCCUUCAAAAUUGAAAAUCCACAGCAUAAGCCUAAGCAAUUUGGAUAAUAAAAUCUUCCAGUUAAAUUUCA